UGCCAGACUCCUACGGGAGGCAGCAGUGGGGAAUAUUGCACAAUGGGGGAAACCCUGAUGCAGCGACGCCGCGUGAGCGAUGAAGUAUUUCGGUAUGUAAAGCUCUAUCAGCAGGGAAGAAAAUGACGGUACCUGACUAAGAAGCCCCGGCUAACUACGUGCCAGCAGCCGCGGUAAUACGUAGGGGGCAAGCGUUAUCCGGAUUUACUGGGUGUAAAGGGAGCGUAGACGGCUGUGCAAGCCAGAUGUGAAAGCGCGGGGCUCAACCCCGGGACUGCAUUUGGAACUGUGUGGCUGGAGUGUCGGAGAGGCAGGCGGAAUUCCUAGUGUAGCGGUGAAAUGCGUAGAUAUUAGGAGGAACACCAGUGGCGAAGGCGGCCUGCUGGACGAUGACUGACGUUGAGGCUCGAAAGCGUGGGGAGCAAACAGGAUUAGAUACCCCUGUA
rnacentral:rRNA from 1 species